rnacentral:rRNA from 1 species
CCUACGGGUGGCAGCAGUGGGGAAUAUUGCACAAUGGGGGAAACCCUGAUGCAGCGACGCCGCGUGAGUGAAGAAGUAUCUCGGUAUGUAAAGCUCUAUCAGCAGGGAAGAAAUAAAGUCCUUCGGACUUUGGACGGUACCUGACUAAGAAGCCCCGGCUAACUACGUGCCAGCAGCCGCGGUAAGACGUAGGGGGCAAGCGUUAUCCGGAUUUACUGGGUGUAAAGGGAGCGUAGCCGGGUUGACAAGUCAGAUGUGAAAUCCUGCGGCUUAACCGCAGAACUGCAUUUGAAACUGUUGAUCUUGAGUACUGGAGAGGCAGAUGGAAUUCCUAGUGUAGCGGUGAAAUGCGUAGAUAUUAGGAGGAACACCAGUGGCGAAGGCGGUCUGCUGGACAGCAACUGACGGUGAGGCGCGAAAGCGUGGGGAGCAAACAGGAUUAGAUACCCGUGUAGUC